UCGAACCCUGCACAGCAGAACGACCCGCGAACUCGUUAUCACACUCCGAGGAGUAGGGGGCCCUUGUGCCCUCUGCACCUCGACGCCGGGGGGGUGGGGGCGCGAGCCCUCGCCGCCCGGCAAACAACGUACCCCGGCGCGGUCAGCGCCAAGGAACAUGAACGAAGCAACGCGCGUCGUACGCCCCGUUCGCGGUGCGCGGACGACUCGCGGUCUUCUCCUGUAUCUAAAACGACUCUCGGCAACGGAUAUCUCGGCUCUCGCAUCGAUGAAGAACGUAGCGAAAUGCGAUACUUGGUGUGAAUUGCAGAAUCCCGUGAACCAUCGAGUCUUUGAACGCAAGUUGCGCCCGAAGCCAUUAGGCCGAGGGCACGUCUGCCUGGGCGUCACGCGCUCCGUCGCCCCGCAACCCCACAUCUCGGGCGCUUGCGGCGCGGAAAUUGGUCUCCCGUGAGCCCUCUGCUCGCGGCUGGCCUAAAAAUGAGUCCCGGGCGCACCAUGCCGCGGCCGACGGUGGUUGUAAAGCCUUCGAAACAGAGCCGCGGGAAGGUCGCCAGUUCGAGACCCUGUGACCCUCGCGCGACUUCUCCCCUCGGGGCGGAGCCGCUCCAUCUGCGACCCCAGGUCAGGC
rnacentral:misc_RNA from 1 species